UGAGCCCUCUGUCCCGCUUCUGCAGGUUCCCCCGCGCUCCUCCCGGAGCCCACUCUGAGGCAGCCUUCUCGAACAGGACCCCCGGCGUGGGGACGCCUCCUGACCCCCGAGGCCCAGCGGGAGGGCCGCGACCUCCGGCGGGGUGGUCUCGGCAGCCGCCUCCUCCCCCGCCACCCUCCCCUUUCCGGGGCAGCUAAAUAAUUGAUUCGCCCAUAAAUAAUUGAUCUGCGCCGCGCGCGCGCGCGCCCUCGGCCCCGGGGUGCCGGGUUCCCCGUUAGGGUUAGGGGAGGGGGAGGGGAGCGGGGGAGGGGACGGGGACCGCGGUGCUGGGCGCGCAAGCGGCGCACAGUUUCGCUCCGCGGGCCUUUCUCUCUCCCUCUCGCUCCCUCGCGCCGGCUUUUUCCCUUUUUCUUUUUCCUUUUUUUCUUUCCUGGAGCGGAGCCCGGCGCCAGGAGUCUGGAACCAGCUUGACAAGCUUUUGAAUGAAAUAACUGAGGCUCGGAGAGGUCGAUUCGCUUUCUCAAGGACACACAGCUAGGAAGUGAUUCAAAUCCUGAUCUGCUGGCUGCGUCCCUAAGGAAAAGCAAGUUAAAUGUUUUUUUAAAAUAAAACAUUUCAAGCACCUA